rnacentral:rRNA from 1 species
UACGAAGGGGGCUAGCGUUGCUCGGAAUCACUGGGCGUAAAGGGUGCGUAGGCGGGUUUUUAAGUCAGGGGUGAAAUCCUGGAGCUCAACUCCAGAACUGCCUUUGAUACUGAAGAUCUUGAGUUCGGGGAGAGGUGAGUGGAACUGCGAGUGUAGAGGUGAAAUUCGUAGAUAUCGGGAGGAACACCAGUGGCGAAGGCGACUACCUGGCCUGUUCUUGACGCUGAGGCGCGAAAGCUAGGGGAGCAAACGGG